GACAGAGGUGCCGAGCGUUAGGCGGAAUCACUGGGCUUAAAGCGUGUGUAGGCGGGCGGGCAAGUACCUCGUGAAAUCCCACGGCUCAACCGUGGAACGGCUGGGUAUACUGCCUGUCUUGAGCCAACUAGGGGCGAGCGGAACAGACGGUGGAGCGGUGAAAUGCGUAGAUAUCGUCUGGAACGCCGAAGGUGAAAACAGCUCGCUGGGGUUGUGCUGACGCUGAGACACGAAAGCCAGGGGAGCGAACGGG
rnacentral:rRNA from 1 species